CCACACUGGAACUGAGACACGGUCCAGACUCCUACGGGAGGCAGCAGUGAGGAAUUUUCCGCAAUGGGGGCAACCCUGACGGAGCGACGCCGCGUGUGGGAAGAAGGCCUUCGGGUCGUAAACCACUGUCGAAGGGGACGAUAUUGACGGUACCCUUGGAGGAAGCCCCGGCUAACUACGUGCCAGCAGCCGCGGUAAGACGUAGGGGGCAAGCGUUGUCCGGAAUCAUUGGGCGUAAAGCGCUCGUAGGCGGAUCUUUAAGUCUGUGAAGAAAGACCUGGGCUCAACUCAGGGAACGGCAUGGAUACUAUUGAUCUUGAGGUAGUUAGAGGAUGAUGGAAUUCCCGGUGUAGCGGUGAAAUGCGUAGAUAUCGGGAAGAAACACAGUGGCGAAGGCGA
rnacentral:rRNA from 1 species